AUUGAACGCUGGCGGCAGGCUUAACACAUGCAAGUCGAGCGAGCGGCGGACGGGUGAGUAAUGUCUGGGAAACUGCCUGAUGGAGGCGGAUAACUACUGGAAACGAUAGCUAAUACCGCAUACCAUCAGAUGUGCCCAGAUGGGAUUAGCUAGUAGGUGGGGUAAUGGCUCACCUAGGCGACGAUCCCUAGCUGGUCUGAGAGGAUGACCAGCCACACUGGAACUGAGACACGGUCCAGACUCCUACGGGAGGCAGCAGGGGGGAAUAUUGCACAAUGGGCGCAAGCCUGAUGCAGCAAUGCCGCGUGUGUGAAGAAGGCUUUCGGGUUGUAAAGCACUGUCAGCGAGGAGGCGUUACUCGCAGAAGAAGCAACGGCUAACUCCGUGCCAGCAGCCGCGGUAAUAC
rnacentral:rRNA from 1 species